CCUUUUAUAGCAUAUCGCAAUCAACAGCGGCCACAAUGCGUUCAUUCAUUUCCUCUUCCUUGUGAAGAAGGAAAGGUCUAAACUUGGGGUUCCUGAUACAUCUCCCCAAGAAGAAGUUGGAGUGACAUGAUGUCUAGGUAUCAAGGUACAGACUUGUCCAGAACCUUGAGGGCAAGAGUGUAAAUGGGGUUGCACAAUCUACGUGUCUAAUUAUUGAAAGGCCAUAUAUUAAAUUAACAAAGUUGACGAAUAUGCUCUCAUUAAGAUAAAAUAUGUGUGAAGGUAUGGUUUUCAUUUGACUCAAAGUCAGCAGAAUACCAAACAUGACUGAACUUAAUUAUUACUGCAUAUGUCUGGGUGUCUUUUUGAGAGACUGGCCAUGUUUGCGUAAGCAAUUGUUUUAUUUUGCAAAAUGUUCCUCAGCCAACACAUGCAAUUGCAUGAAUACCACAAUAAUUUGUAAGAACCUCUGGAACAAAGAAUUGAAACCAAAGAGAAGCAAGAAAUCGAAUGCUCAGCAUUACUGGGAAAGGAUAGCUUAUUAUGCAACAGCCCACUACAUUUAUACCUGAGAAGACAGACAAGUUAAUUAUUCUGUCUUUUCUCUUACCUAAGUGCUCCUGCCUAUCAAACCUUCCCCAUACUCAAAGCAGUCCUCUCUGACUUCAGAAGUGACAGAACCCCAAAACUUCCACAGCAGUUGUAUGCAAUCUUUUUGGUCUGGGGAAUGAGGCAAGAGAUGUGAAAAAGCAUUUUUCUGAGGCCUGAAUGGCAUUACUCAUGUAAGCAGGUGUUUGGGGCUAUGGGUGAAUUUAUGCAAAUACUGAGUGCCAGGUGCAAAGUGACAGAGUUGUCUUGUAUCUUUUAAUAAAUAUAUGUUUGGGUAUGUUUGUAAUAUGUGAACCCUUCUAAAGAACAGGCCAUAGUUCUACAACGGCCCCUCUUGCCAAUGAGGUACAGUCUCAUUGGCCACUAUUUCUGAGCGAAUGCUGGGCUGUAUUCAUUAUGAAAAUUGAGAAAUAUAAGGGAAACUACAAUUUGAAAAUGGGUGAUGAUUUGACAAAAAUUCAAAGAGGAAGAGGAAUUGUUGAUCUCAAGAGAAACCUGAAGAAUCCAUAUCUCUAAAUGUUUCCUAUCACCUGGCUUAUGUAUGGGACUGAUACUUCUCCAGGGGCAGUCAGGAAUCUACCAUAAGUCAGCUUUAGCCCUCAGGUUAUACUCCUGAGCCCAUACCAAGCAUUUUCACCUUGUAGGUAUCUGAAGAGGACUUGAAGCACUUACCGAUGAAGAUAAAAAAUGACAGCCUUCAGUAUGGAUCAUACCUCAACAUAAAGAAAACAAAAAUCCUCACAACUGGACCAAUAAGCAAUUAUGAUAAAUGGAGAAAAGAUUGAAGUCGUCAAGGAUUUCAUUUUACUUGGAUACAUAAUCAACAUCUCUGGAAGCAGCAGUCAAGAAAUAAACGAUGUAUUGCAUUGGGCAAAUCUGCUGCAAAAGACCUCUUUAGAGUGUUCAAAGGCAAAGAUGUCACUUUGAGGACUAAGGUGUGCCUGACCCAAGCCAUGGUACUUUCAGUCCCCUCAUUUGUAUGCAAAAGCCUUAUUCAGACAAUGAAUAAGGAAUACUGAAGAAGAACUGAUGCCUUUUAAUCAUGACAUUGAUGAAGAAUAUUGAAUAUACUAUGGACUGCCAGAGGAACAAACAAAUCUGCCUUUGAAAAAAUACAGCCAGUAUGCUCCUUAGAAAUGAGGAUGGUGAGACUUCAUCUCACUUGCUUUGGACAUGUUAUCAGGAGGGACCAAUCCAUGGAGAAGGACAUUGUGCUUGGUAAAGUAGAGGGUCAGCAAAAGAGAGGAAGACCCUCAAUGAGGUGGAUUAAUGCAGUGGCUGCAAAGAUGGAUGGAUAGAUGAAUGGAUAACCCAUGGAUGGAUGGUUAAAUAACAGAGCUCAUACACAGAAGAGCUGGAUACCACACACAGAUGAAGAAACAGCGGCCCAGAGAGGUGAAGUUGUUUGUCCAAGGCCAUCUAGUUGGUCCCUGUGGUUGACAGCGAUGAAGCAGGAAAAAAAAAAAAGAUACCCCUGGAUUUGGAAUUGGAUGGCCUGUGCUUGGAUUCUGACGUUACUUCUUACUGCCAAGAUCUCUCCGAGUCUCAAUUUUCCUACCUGAAAACAUGGAGAUAAGAAUAUUGACUCAGAAUAUUUUUGAGGAUAAAGUGGAAAAAAUUCUGUGUGAAUGUCUAAUAUAUUGCCUGGGCCAUCGCUGGUGCUCGCUAUGUGUAAUGUCCAUCCUGGCUUCCUUCCCUAUUAGACUCUCAGCAGCUAGAGGGCUAGCAUGCAAAAGGUGCUGGAUGCUUGUGGAAUCAACCCUCCUUCCUGUCUCUACCAGAAAUUAAGCAUUUUAAGAGCACACUCCUCUUUGGGUCUGGCACGUAGAGUCUCAUAUAUGGUAUCUAUUAAUCAAACAUUUGUUGAAUAAAUGGGAAAUGGGGCCAGGAAAGACAGGGCACUCCCAAGAGAACUGACUGCGAUUUUGCAUUUUGUCUAUCUGGAGAGGACUCGAGUCUGAAGACCUUCCGUUUCUUCCAGAAUCUGUUUUUCUGGACCCAGAUUCUUCCACUAUCUCUAAACAAACCCCUGCUUUUUAUUUUAAUAAAAUAUUGCAAUGGCCUGUGGAUAACUGGAGUAAGUCAUUAAUCAGACACACGUAUGGCACUCCUUUGAAACCUGUCAAACACAUGCCUGAAAAAUUAUCUGUAUAUUUUCCACAGUGACAAAGUCAACGCCUUCUAAUCUCCUAUGGUGUAUUAAAUCCCACCAGCAAAACAAAUGCCUGAUGACAGAUGAUUGAUCGGUGUUUCCCCUGACAGCCUCAGGCACAGAAAUCUCCCCUCACACCGGUCCCCAAAGGUGACACCAGUAACUGUUGGAUCAGUCAGUCGGUUCCCUGCCACUGCUGGGCUAUGCAGCGUCUAACUGCGCUGUACCGUAAAAGACAUCACAUUCAAUUGACCUCUUGCUUAUCUAUAAACACAGAAUGAGCUACACGGGCCCUGAUCCACUGAGGAACCAUUUCAGGGCAAUUUAUUUCCUUUUACUACCCAUAAAAAUAAGCUGCUUCACACAAAGGAGAGAGACAAAAAAAUACUCUCUCUCCCUAAUAAGGUUAUUAUGAAGGGAUGUUUUCUCUGAGCAGUCAUAACCGGGUAGCGUGCUGUCAGUGUUUGAUCACACUGGGUUACCACACUCCAUCAGCUGGGCUCCAGAGAGAUGGCGUGCAUCGGGGUGGCCCUUUUGGGUUACUUUAUUGUCACUGGUUUUCCUAAUAGAGGUAAACGUUUCUUUCAUUGACCCCUGACUUUUUCGCUGAUAUAGGGCAAAAGCUGAGGGAAAAGUGUGCAAAUAGCCUUAGAUGAGGGAAAGGGUGAAGCUUGGGUGUAAAUGUGUGCACACACACAGACACACACACUCAAACUCACACUGGGUGGUGCUUGGUGCAUUGCUGGUCCACGAAGGUAUGAAAGAUGCAUUGCAGUUGUCAUAAGAAAGAUAUGGUCUC